rnacentral:rRNA from 1 species
AUACUCCUACGGGAGGCAGCAGUAGGGAAUCUUCCACAAUGGACGAAAGUCUGAUGGAGCAACGCCGCGUGAGUGAAGAAGGGUUUCGGCUCGUAAAACUCUGUUGUUAAAGAAGAACAUAUCUGAGAGUAACUGUUCAGGUAUUGACGGUAUUUAACCAAG